GCCUCUGUGGUGUAACGGCUAGCAUACAGGCCUGUGGAGCCUACGGCCCGGGUUCGACUCCCGGCAGAGGCC
rnacentral:tRNA from 1 species